rnacentral:lncRNA from 1 species
UGAGUCGAAUUGUUCUGAUUUUCAAGCAUGCUAUGUGAAUUACUGACACUUGAUGAAUAUACAUGUCAUAGAUUGUACCAUGGUUUGGCCAGCCGAAAUUGAGCCUAAGAAUAUUGUCGUAUCUGUAUCUGAUAUUGGCAUUCUAUUUGGAUAGUUGGAAAUCUGUAUCUGCCCUCAGAGAUGGAAGUUUAUAACGACCUCACGAAGCAUGACAUGAAAUAUCUGUGCAUUUCAUGAUUUAUUUGAUUUUCUGUGCUAAUGUACUAUUUUGAUAUUCAAAUAAAUUGUUUCCUUUUUUAAUGAUGAAUUAGGUAAACAAGAAAGCUAAACGGUGAGAUAAAAGAAUAAACUUUUAAAAUCUUACGAUGUUAAUUUAAUAUUAUUU